rnacentral:rRNA from 1 species
AACGAACGCUGGCGGCAUGCCUAACACAUGCAAGUCGAACGAGACCUUCGGGUCUAGUGGCGCACGGGUGCGUAACGCGUGGGAACCUGCCCUUAGGUUCGGAAUAACUCCCCGAAAGGGGUGCUAAUACCGGAUAAUGUCUUCGGACCAAAGAUUUAUCGCCUUUGGAUGGGCCCGCGUUGGAUUAGCUAGUUGGUAGGGUAAAAGCCUACCAAGGCGACGACGCAUAGCUGGUCUGAGAGGAUGAUCAGCCACACUGGGACUGAGACACGGCCCAGACUCCUACGGGAGGCAGCAGUGGGGAAUAUUGGACAAUGGGCGAAAGCCUGAUCCAGCAAUGCCGCGUGAGUGAUGAAGGCCUUAGGGUUGUAAAGCUCUUUUACCCGGGAUGAUAAUGACAGUACCGGGAGAAUAAGCUCCGGCUAACUCCGUG